GUGGGGAAUAUUGGACAAUGGGCGCAAGCCUGAUCCAGCCAUGCCGCGUGAGUGAUGAAGGCCCUAGGGUUGUAAAGCUCUUUCAGCUGGGAAGAUAAUGACUGUACCAGCAGAAGAAGCCCCGGCUAACUCCGUGCCAGCAGCCGCGGUAAUACGGAGGGGGCUAGCGUUGUUCGGAAUUACUGGGCGUAAAGCGCACGUAGGCGGAUCAGAAAGUCAGAGGUGAAAUCCCAGGGCUCAACCUUGGAACUGCCUUUGAAACUCCUGGUCUUGAGGUCGAGAGAGGUGAGUGGAAUUCCGAGUGUAGAGGUGAAAUUCGUAGAUAUUCGGAGGAACACCAGUGGCGAAGGCGGCUCACUGGCUCGAUACUGACGCUGAGGUGCGAAAGCGUGGGGAGCAAACAGGAUUAGAAACCCGGGUAGUCC
rnacentral:rRNA from 1 species